AACUUGCUAGAGAUGGCUUGGUGCCCGAAAGGGAACCUGGACACAGGUGCUGCAUGGCUGUCGUCAGCUCGUGUCGUGAGAUGUUGGGUUAAGUCCCGCAACGAGCGCAACCCUUGUCAUUAAUUGCCAUCAUUCAGUUGGGCACUUUAAUGAGACUGCCGGUGACAAACCGGAGGAAGGUGGGGAUGACGUCAAGUCCUCAUGGCCCUUAUGGGUAGGGCUUCACACGUAAUACAAUGGUCGGUACAGAGGGUUGCCAACCCGCGAGGGGGAGCUAAUCCCAGAAAACCGAUCGUAGUCCGGAUUGCAGUCUGCAACUCGACUGCAUGAAGUCGGAAUCGCUAGUAAUCGCGGAUCA
rnacentral:rRNA from 1 species